rfam:Otolemur garnettii contig069599, whole genome shotgun sequence.
AAACACAGGGAUAGUGGGGCCCAGGUGUCCCAGGCAGGAGGAAGUGUGCACUCAUACUAGCCAAGAGGAAAGAGCCUUCCUGGGCAUGACAGGUGACCAGCCCCUAGGCUGUCCCUCAGGCAAGAAUGGCCUUGGAGACAUGCUGGAGACCCCUUGGAGCAUAGCCAAGGAGACCCAGGAGUAGUUAGAAGA